GGGCCCGCACAAGCAGUGGAGUAUGUGGUUUAAUUCGACGCAACGCGAAGAACCUUACCAGGGCUUGACAUCCUCUGACCGCAGCAGAGAUGCUGUUUUCCCUUCGGGGACAGAGAGACAGGUGGUGCAUGGUUGUCGUCAGCUCGUGUCGUGAGAUGUUGGGUUAAGUCCCGCAACGAGCGCAACCCCUAUGGUCAGUUGCCAGCACAUAAUGGUGGGCACUCUGGCGAGACUGCCGUUGACAAAACGGAGGAAGGUGGGGACGACGUCAAAUCAUCAUGCCCCUUAUGUCCUGGGCUACACACGUACUACAAUGGCAACAACAGAGGGCAGCCAUGCCGCGAGGCAGAGCGAAUCCCAAAAUGUUGUCUCAGUUCAGAUUGCAGGCUGCAACUCGCCUGCAUGAAGUCGGAAUUGCUAGUAAUGGCAGGUCAGCAUACUGCCGUGAAUACGUUCCCGGGCCUU
rnacentral:rRNA from 1 species